ensembl:snoRNA
GGAGUGUGCUCAGAGCAGGGGGCCUGAAGAAACAGCUCCUCUGUUUACAACAGACCCAACAGGAAAUCGGGGUUCAUACGACAAGAGGCACAAAACUUGUGGCUUUCCUGUGAACAAACACCCAACAUGU